rnacentral:rRNA from 1 species
AUUGAACGCUGGCGGCAGGCCUAACACAUGCAAGUCGAGCGGGGUUUUCGGACCUAGCGGCGGACAGGUGAGUAAUGCGCAGGAAGCUACCCGAUAGAGGGGGAUACCAGUUGGAAACGACUGUUAAUACCGCAUAAUGUCUACGGACCAAAGUGUGGGACCUUCGGGCCACAUGCUAUCGGAUGCGCCUACGUGGGAUUAGCUAGUUGGUGAGGUAAUGGCUCACCAAGGCGACGAUCCCUAGCUGGUUUGAGAGGAUGAUCAGCCACACUGGAACGGAGACACGGUCCAGACGCCUACGGGAGGCAGAAGUGGGGAAUAUUGGACAAUGGGCGCAAGACUGAUCCAGCCAUGCCGCGUGUGUGAAGAAGGCCUUCGGGUUGUAAAGCACUUUCAGUAGGGAGGAAGGGUUAAGUGUUAAUAGUACUUAACUUUGACGUUACCUACAGAAGACGCACCGGCUAACUCUGUGCCAGCCGCCGCCGUAACAC